rnacentral:rRNA from 1 species
UGGAAAGGCGCGCGAUACAGGGUGACAGCCCCGUACACAAAAGCGCAUGUGCUGUGAGCUCGAUGAGUAGGGCGGGACACGUGGUAUCCUGUCUGAAUAUGGGGGGACCAUCCUCCAAGGCUAAAUACUCCUGACUGACCGAUAGUGAACCAGUACCGUGAGGGAAAGGCGAAAAGAACCCCGGCGAGGGGAGUGAAAAAGAACCUGAAACCGUGUACGUACAAGCAGUGGGAGCCCCACCACCAAAGCAUUUGCUGUACCGCGUUGACGGAGCGAAGCGACGUCAAACCGAUAAAACAGCAGUGUAAAGUGAGCCGCAGGGCGCUUUGCGCGACAGCGCAAAGGCAGGCGGUUUCGCGUAGCGAAAGCGAAUGCUUUGGGGUGGGGUGACUGCGUACCUUUUGUAUAAUGGGUCAGCGACUUAUAUUCUGUAGCAAGGUUAACCGUAUAGGGGAGCCGUAGGGAAACCGAGUCUUAACCGGGCGUUAAGUUGCAGGGUAUAGACCCGAAACCCGGUGAUCUAGCCAUGGGCAGGUUGAAGGUUGGGUAACACUAACUGGAGGACCGAACCGACUAAUGUUGAAAAAUUAGCGGAUGACCUGUGGCUGGGGGUGAAAGGCCAAUCAAACCGGGAGAUAGCUGGUUCUCCCCGAAAGCUAUUUAGGUAGCGCCUCGUGAAUUCAUCUCCGGGGGUAGAGCACUGUUUCGGCUAGGGGGCCAUCCCGGCUUACCAACCCGAUGCAAACUGCGAAUACCGGAGAAUGUUAUCACGGGAGACACACGGCGGGUGCUAACGUCCGUCGUGAAGAGGGAAACAACCCAGACCGCCAGCUAAGGUCCCAAAGUCAUGGUUAAGUGGGAAACGAUGUGGGAAGGCCCAGACAGCCAGGAUGUUGGCUUAGAAGCAGCCAUCAUUUAAAGAAAGCGUAAUAGCUCACUGGUCGAGUCGGCCUGCGCGGAAGAUGUAACGGGGCUAAACCAU